GACUUCACUUGUACCUGAAGGCAUUUCCUCGUUCAUGCCUGCACAUCCUGUAACUUCUAUCAAAUUCAGCUGAGUGAUGUGAGCUGUAUCACUCAACACAUUUCCCGACAGGGCUUUUAUCCUAACUGUGCACUUAGUCUACAAGAAUGGUGUUGAUCUUAUUUGGUUGAUUAUCUCUGGAUUUACUCUGCCAUCAACUCCUGAUUCUUGAAUGGCUACCCCUGAGCUGCACAGAACAGUCUCUUCAGAGUCCACCCGUCAGUAUUCCAGGCAUUGGCAGAAUACAGGUCGGUGGUGGCGCUAGAGAGCACCAUUAUUACCCAUGACAUUACCCAUGGCAUUACCUACCCACACAGCGUGAGCGGGUACUCUGUCCUUGGGUCUACAGAGCGACCUGCUAUUAGCUGUGCCCAUCCCUGAGGGGCAUGCAGCAGCCGGCCAACCGAUUGAGGACGCUAUACAGGCUGCACUGGCAGAGGCCAAUGCUAAAGGCAUUAGAAGAAGAGAUGUGACGCCCCCUUCAUCCUUCAAAAGGUCAACGAAUUGACCAGAGGAAAGUCCGUCCUAGCUAGUUACCUUCUCAGAUCAAUACCGUGACACAAGAAACUAUGGUAGAGAGAGAGCGAGAGAGAAUCAAUCUCAGUGUAAGGUUAGAAAUUGUGGGGAAAAAAGGUAAUGAUCUUGUUGUUCUUAAAAAAUAUAUUUAUAUUAUAUAUUUAUAUAUAUUUCUCCAUAUAACUUUAUAUGAGGUCCCUUAACCUCAUAUUCCCAAAGAUAUCGCUCGACAUGCAUAAUAGUGCCAGGUUGGGCAGGCAGAUAGCCUGUGCACUGUCUGAACGAAUGCAGAAGAAGAGGACUAUUCCUGGUCUUCACGUAAAAGAGGAAGAGAAAGAUUCUGACUAUCAAAAAUUACGAAUACUGGAAUUGUUGGCCUUUGGUGGAGUAGGAAGGAACCUUGCUGACUCUCUGAACAGAAUGGGACAAAGACCUCUGUUCAUCUCAGCCAUUGGAACUGACUCUCACAGUGAUGCUGUACUGAACUACUCUCAGCACAUGUGUGCCAGUGGCGUCGCCAGGCUUCAAGAGCAGAGGACCGCAACUUAUUGUGCCGGGAUGACUGAGAACGGUGACCUGAGUCUCGGAUUGGGCGACAGGCAUAACCGCCAGCAAAUCACAGAACAGUAUGUGAGUAUUUCUGAAGCAGGUACGAGACAUCAAAGUCUACAUAUAUCAAGUUGUUGUUGUUGUUGAUAUAUUUGUUGUUGUUGUUGAUGAGAAUAGCACUGAAAUAAUAACAACUUUGCCCAGGACUAAAUUAGAGGGAAUGUCAAAAUAUUCCAGUUUGAGGAAAACCUUUCAGGGGUUUUCUCUCGUGUGUCUGUAUGGCAACCACAAUCGACAGUCGUCAAUAGUGAUCGAUCACCAUUUUUUCACCAUCCGUGUCACUGUUUCACCUGUCUUUGUGCUGGUCUCCCCCACCAGGUGUCCCCUCAUUAUCCCCUGUGUAUUAAUACCUGCGUACUCUGUUUGUCUGUUGCUACUUUGGCUUGUCCCGUCAAGUCCUACCAACGUGUUCCCUGUGCUCUAGUUUUUGGUUGUCUUAGUCUUCACAGUUCUGACCUUUCUGCCUGUCCUGAUCCUGCCCGCUGUCCUUGUACCUGCCCGACUCUGAUUUGGAUUACAGCCCUUUGCCUGCCCCUUGAACUAUAAUAAACUCUGAGACUCGUACUAUCUGCCUCCUGUGUCUGCAUCUGGGUCUUAGCCUGAGCCGUGAUAAUCGGUGCAUGUCUGUUUGAUCAGGGUCCAUUCACAAAGAAUCUGAGUAGAAGUGCUGAUCUAGGAUCAGGUCCCCCCUCUCCAUAUUAUCUUAUUCGCCAUGAUUUAAAAGGCAAAACUGAUCCGAUAUCAACAGCACUCCAUCUCUGAGACGCUUUAUACAUACGGACCCUGAUCUGAUAAACUUGUGUUGCAGUGUGGUAUGAGCCAGCUAAUUCUGACAAGGCAUACAAUCAUCUCCUGUCUGACAGCUGGAAGGCCCUGGCCUCCACCUCUCCCAACCUGGCUGAGCUGUGUACCAUGAAUAAGACAUUAGGCCUUCCCAAAUUUUUUUGUGAAAAAUCAACAACAAGUGGGACACAAUCAUGAAGUGGAACAACAUUUAUUGGAUAUUUCAAACUUUUUUAACAAAUCAAAAACUG